rnacentral:rRNA from 1 species
UGGCGGUAGGCUUAACACAUGCAAGUCGUGCGAGAAAGUAUCUUCGGAUAUGAGUAGAGCGGCGGACGGGUGAGUAACGCGUAGGAAUCUACCUAGUAGAAGGGGAUAGCCCGAGGAAACUCGGAUUAAUACCGUAUACCUCCUUCGGGAGAAAGAAGGCCUCUCUUUGAAGCUUUCGCUAUUAGAUGAGCCUGCGUAAGAUUAGCUUGUUGGUGAGGUAAAGGCUCACCAAGGCGACGAUCUUUAGCGGGUCUGAGAGGACGAUCCGCCACAUUGGGACUGAGACACGGCCCAGACUCCUACGGGAGGCAGCAGUGGGGAAUAUUGGACAAUGGGCGCAAGCCUGAUCCAGCCAUACCGCGUGUGUGAAGAAGGCCCUAGGGUUGUAAAGCACUUUAAGUUGGGAAGAAAAGUUAUUGGUUAAUACCCAAUGACCGUGACAUUACCUUCAGAAUAAGGACCGGCUAAUUCCGUGCCAGCAGCCGCGGUAAUACGGAAGGUCCAAGCGUUAAUCGGAAUUACUGGGCGUAAAGCGCGCGUAGGUGGUUUAUUAAGUUGGAUGUGAAAUCCCCGGGCUCAACCUGGGAACUGCAUCCAAAACUGAUUCACUAGAGUACGAUAGAGGGAGGUAGAAUUCACAGUGUAGCGGUGGAAUGCGUAGAUAUUGUGAAGAAUACCAAUGGCGAAGGCAGCCUCCUGGAUCUGUACUGACACUGAGGUGCGAAAGCGUGGGUAGCGAACAGGAUUAGAUACCCUGGUAGUCCACGCCGUAAACGAUGUCAACUAGCUGUUGGAAAACUAUGUUUUUCAGUGGCGCAGCUAACGUAGUAAGUUGACCGCCUGGGGAGUACGGCC